UACGUAGGGGCAAGCGUUGUCCGGAAUUAUUGGGCGUAAAGAGCGUGUAGGCGGUCCGGUAAGUCGGCUGUGAAAGUCCAGGGCUCAACCCUGGGAUGCCGGUCGAUACUGCCGGACUAGAGUUCGGAAGAGGCGAGUGGAAUUCCCGGUGUAGCGGUGAAAUGCGCAGAUAUCGGGAGGAACACCUAUGGCGAAGGCAGCUCGCUGGGACGUUACUGACGCUGAGACGCGAAAGCGUGGGGAGCAA
rnacentral:rRNA from 1 species